rnacentral:tRNA from 1 species
CAAGCUAGAGCUCGAUGAGUUUUUAUUUACACUAAAGGGGAAUUUGUUUAAUCAAUUUAGUUUGA